ACCAGCGGCACCAGCGGCGGCGGCGGCAGCAGCAGCAGCGGCAGCAGCAACAGCAAUAAUCACCUGGUGUCCGGCCUUUCCUAGAAACUUCUUGCAUCACCACUUCUAAGAACCCCAGUUCUAAGAAUCAACAGAGCUCAAUUCUCGGAAUUUGAGCUGCGGACUUUACCACUGCUACGUGGCAGGGGAGGACUCGGUGUCAGCUCUCCGGGACUUUUGCCUCUUUGGGCCCAUGGAAAGCCCUCAAAGCCACAGUGUUUUUCCAGUUCUCGGCAGAUUUCGAGGUCCUCAGCGGCUGGGCGUCUCAGAUUUGGAGGUUCCGGUUCGAGGCUCGAGGGGCCAGACGGCGUCCCUCCCUCCCGGGGCCCCGCACGAUGUUUAUCAUGGAAAGAGGACAUAGAGUGAGCAUCCCUGCAAAAGAGCCAUUUGCUGUGGCCUUACAUUCAGAGAAGUCCUCAGAGUUGGACUUUUGACAUGCUCUCCACUGAGGUUCUGCUGCAGUCUUAGUGGCGCACUGACAGGAUCGAAAGAAGACCUUCACACACAAGUUUUGUGUGCAGGUCCCGCCGCAAGACCCAGUGUAGGAGCCCUCCCAGUCCCCCAUGGUGCCGUGAUUUCAUACUGUUACUAAAUCUAGAAUUGUCAUGAAUCGUGUGAUUGUAUUGUAAUUGUGUGUAUGUUGGUGUUUAAAAUGUAAAUUUUUAAAUAUAUAUGGCCUAGAAGCAACAAUGCCACAGUAGCAAUGAGCACACCUCAUGCCCAGAUUGUACCAUAAAAU